rnacentral:rRNA from 1 species
AAACUAACAAGGAUUCCCCUAGUAACGGCGAGUGAAGAGGGAAGAGCCCAAGAUUGAAAGCUGGCGUCUUCGGCGUCCGCAUUGUAAUCUCAAGAAGUGUUUUCCGCUUCGGACCAUGCCUAAGUCCCUUGGAAAAGGGCAUCAUAGAGGGUGAUAAUCCCGUACAUGGCAUGGAGCGCCCGAAGCUUUGUGAUACGCUUUCUAAGAGUCGAGUUGUUUGGGAAUGCAGCUCAAAAUGGGUGGUAAAUGCCAUCUAAGGCUAAAUAUUGGGGAGAGACCGAUAGCGAACAAGUACAGUGAUGGAAAGAUGAAAAGAACUUUGAAAAGAGAGUUAAACAGUACGUGAAAUUGCCAAAAGGGAAGGGUAGGAGGUCAGAGAUGCGGCCUGGGAUUCAGCCUUGCUUUUGCUUGGUGUUUUUCCCAGAUUGCAGGCCAACGUCGGUUUUGGGCACUGGAGAAGGGUAGGAGGAACGUGGCACCUCUCGGGGUGUGUUAUAGCCUCCUACUGGAUACAGCGACCGAGACCGAGGACAGCAGCGUACUCGCAAG